rfam:Echinostoma caproni strain Egypt genome assembly, scaffold: ECPE_scaffold0005409
GCACUGCUGACGAGUCCCGAACAAGACGAAACAGCUGUCCAGUGC